GAUGAACGCUAGCGGGAGGCUUAACACAUGCAAGUCGAGGGGCAGCAUAGGGUAGCAAUACUCUGAUGGCGACCGGCAAACGGGUGAGUAACGCGUAUGUAACCUACCCUGUACAGGGGGAUAACCCGGAGAAAUUCGGACUAAUAUCCCAUAACAAUAUCCGGGGGCAUCUUUGGAUAUUUAAAGUUCCGGCGGUACGGGAUGGGCAUGCGUAACAUUAGCUAGUUGGUAAGGUAACGGCUUACCAAGGCUUUGAUGUUUAGGGGUCCUGAGAGGGUGGUCCCCCACACUGGUACUGAGACACGGACCAGACUCCUACGGGAGGCAGCAGUGAGGAAUAUUGGUCAAUGGGCCAAGCCUGAACCAGCCAUCCCGCGUGCAGGAAGACGGCGCUAUGCGUUGUAAACUGCUUUUCCAGGGAGAGAAACUUGCGCACGUGUUGCGCAAUUGACGGUACCCUGGGAAUAAGCAUCGGCUAACUCCGUGCCAGCAGGCCGCGGUAAAACGUGCGGU
rnacentral:rRNA from 1 species